GCCUGGAUUUUUCUAGCUCAUAGCUUCGCCCUGCUAAGAAGCGUGUGUGCUUGUACAAAGGCCGUUCAGCGUCGGGAUUUACACUCGGCUCGACACGGAUAUGUGAAGAAUGAAGGGACUCUGCAGCGAAACGGAGAGCCAACCUCUGACUGAGUGCCUGUUUACGCAGUCUGACCACCUGUUGAAGGGCUGUUUGAUGACGAUUUGGACUCCUCUGGGAGAUGAGGACACACCCACAUCUGUUCCAUACUGCAGCCAUUGAUGGUGUUACAGCUCUGAGUCAGCUUUGGGCCAUCAGAUGCACACACUGGAAAACCAGCACCUGGACUUCAUGCAGGAGAGACGGCCUCAGUGAUAAUUCAUCAGCAGCUGCGGAGAGAUGCAUUUGAAUAUCUUCUGGUUCCACUUUUCCUUACCUGGAAGCUGAGUAUUGCUGAUUUCUGACAAGGAAA